UGAGUGCGAGCUGCUACGGCAGCGAAGUUGGUGAUGUCAUGCUUCCAAGAAAAGCCCUAUACCCGUUAAGGCAUCAUGGCCUGUACCCGAAACCGACACAGGUGGGGUGGUAGAGAAUACCGAGGGGCGCGAGGUAACUCUCUCUAAGGAACUCGGCAAAAUGGCCCCGUAACUUCGGGAGAAGGGGUGCCACCGCAAGGUGGUCGCAGUGAAGAGGCCCAGGCGACUGUUUACCAAAAACACAGGUCUCCGCUAAGUCGCAAGACGAUGUAUGGGGGCUGACGCCUGCCCAGUGCCGGAAGGUUAAGGAAGCUGGUCAGCGCAAGCGAAGCUAGCGACUGAAGCCCCGGUGAGCGGCGGCCGUAACAAUAACGGUCCUAAGGUAGCGAAAUUCCUUGUCGGAUAAGUUCCGACCCGCACGAAAGGCGUAACGAUCUGGGCGCUGUCUCGGAGAGAGGCUCGGCGAAAUAGAAUUGUCUGUGAAGAUGCGGACUACGUGCACCCGGACAGAAAGACCCUAUGAAGCUUUACUGUAGCUUGGUAUUGUGCCCGGGCUCGCAAUGCGCAGGAUAGGUGGGAGGCUUUGAUCAUCGGCUUGCGGGUCGAUGUGAGCCAACGGUGAGAUACCACUCUUUGCGAGCUAGGGUUCUAACGGCCACCCGUCAUCCGGGGGCCGGACAGUACCUGGUGGGCAGUCUGACUGGGGCGGUCGCCUCCUAAAAGGUAACGGAGGCGCGCAAAGGUUUGCUCAGGCUGGUUGGAAAUCAGCCGACGAGUGUAAAAGCAGAAGCAAGCUUGACUGUGAGACCAACAAGUCGAACAGGGAGGAAACUCGGCUUUAGUGAUCCGACGGUUCUGAGUGGAAGGGCCGUCGCUCAACGGAUAAAAGUUACUCUAGGGAUAACAGGCUGAUCUCCCCCAAGAGUUCACAUCGACGGGAAGGUUUGGCACCUCGAUGUCGGCUCAUCGCAACCUGGGGCUGAAGUCGGUCCCAAGGGUUGGGCUGUUCGCCCAUUAAAGCGGUACGCGAGCUGGGUUCAGAACGUCGUGAGACAGUUCGGUCCAUAUCCGGUGCACGCGCAGGAAUAUUGAGAGGAUUUCUCCCUAGUACGAGAGGACCGGGAGGAACGCACCUCUGGUGUACCAGUUAUCGUGCCAACGGUAAACGCUGGGUAGCCAUGUGCGGAGUGGAUAACCGCUGAAAGCAUCUAAGUGGGAAGCCCACCUCAAGAUGAGUAUUCCCAUGGCGUAAGCCAGUAAGGUCACGGGAAGAACAUCCGUUGAUAGGCUCUAUGUGGAAGCGCAGUAAUGCGUGAAGCAGAGGAGUACUAAUAGACCGAGGGCUUGAC
rnacentral:rRNA from 1 species